rnacentral:rRNA from 1 species
AGAGUUUGAUCCUGGCUCAGAAUGAACGUUGGCGGCGUGGAUUAGGCAUGCAAGUCGAGCGCUCAUAGCAAUAUGGGAACGGCGAACGGCGUAGGAAUUCAUAGGAACGUACCCUCGGGUCGGGGAUAGCUACGGGAAACUGUAGGUAAUACCCGAUGAUCUCUGCGGAGCAAAGGUGUGAUUCCGCCUGAGGAGCGGCUUAUGUGAUAUUAGCUAGUUGGUGGGGUAAUGGCCUACCAAGACAAAGAUGUCUAGGGGGUGUGAGAGCAUGGCCCCCACGACCGGAACUGAGAUACUGUCCGGACACCUACGGGUGGCUGCAGUCAAGAAUCUUCCGCAAUGGACGAAAGUCUGACGGAGCGACGCCGCGUGCGGGAUGAAGGCCCUUGGGUUGUAAACCGCUUUCGGAGGGGAUGAAAUCCUCGAGGGUACUCCCUCGAGGUUGACAGAGCCUCAAAAGAAGCACGGGCUAAGUACGUGCCAGCAGCCGCGGUAACACGUACUGUGCGAACGUUAUUCGGAAUCACUGGGCUUAGAGGGUGCGUAGGCGGCGAUUCAAGUCAGAUGUGAAAUGCCUGAGCUCAACUGAGGCAUUGCGUUUGAAACUGAUUCGCUAGAGUAUUUCCGGGGGUGUGCGGAACUGCCAGUGGAGCGGUGAAAUGUGUUUGAUUAUUGGCAAGGAACACCGGAGGCGAAGCGGCACACUGGGGUAUUACUGACGCUGAGCACGAAGCCAGGGGAGCGAACGGGAUACAUACCCCCGGUAGUCUGCUGUAACGAUGCCUGGCGGGGGGGGAGGGGGUUUCUUCUCCUUUUUCCUGCAGAACGAAGCGUAACUGCUCGCUGGGGGGAGAUAGGUCCGGAGGCUGACCGAGAUGACGGGAUCACACGGGGAGUAGAUAUUGCUAUUCAGCAGCGAGAUCUUAUGCCUGGACU